rnacentral:piRNA from 1 species
UUAGAAAACCUCGUUUAGUGA